rnacentral:rRNA from 1 species
UGAUCCUGGCUCAGGAUGAACGCUGGCGGCGUGCCUAAUACAUGCAAGUCGAGCGAACGGACGAGAAGCUUGCUUCUCUGAUGUUAGCGGCGGACGGGUGAGUAACACGUGGAUAACCUACCUAUAAGACUGGGAUAACUUCGGGAAACCGGAGCUAAUACCGGAUAAUAUUUUAAACCACAUGGUUCAAAAGUGAAAGACGGUCUUGCUGUCACUUAUAGAUGGAUCCGCGCUGCACUAGCUAGUUGGUAAGGUAACGGCUUACCAAGGCAACGAUGCAUAGCCGACCUGAGAGGGUGAUCGGCCACACUGGAACUGAGACACGGUCCAGACUCCUACGGGAGGCAGCAGUAGGGAAUCUUCCGCAAUGGGCGAAAGCCUGACGGAGCAACGCCGCGUGAGUGAUGAAGGUCUUCGGAUCGUAAAACUCUGUUAUUAGGGAAGAACAUAUGUGUAAGUAACUGUGCACAUCUUGACGGUGCCUAAUCAGAAAGCCACGGCUAACUACGUGCCAGCAGCCGCGGUAAUACGUAGGUGGCAAGCGUUAUCCGGAAUUAUUGGGCGUAAAGCGCGCGUAGGCGGUUUUUUAAGUCUGAUGUGAAAGCCCACGGCUCAACCGUGGAGGGUCAUUGGAAACUGGAAAACUUGAGUGCAGAAGAGGAAAGUGGAAUUCCAUGUGUAGCGGUGAAAUGCGCAGAGAUAUGGAGGAACACCAGUGGCGAAGGCGGCUUUCUGGUCUGUAACUGACGCUGAUGUGCGAAAGCGUGGGGAUCAAACAGGAUUAGAUACCCUGGUAGUCC